rnacentral:snRNA from 1 species
GAUAGCGCUUAAGCGCGAA